rnacentral:lncRNA from 1 species
GAGGAAAGCACAUGGGAUUGGUGAAUGGAGACCCAGUUCUUCCUACAAAUUUUUAAAAAUGCCUGCACCCCGCCCACCCUGAGGCUCUAGCUGGGAAGUCGAGCUGCUGGACAAGGCGAUCUUCAGGCUUGCCAUGGCUCCCUGGGGAUGCUGUGGCUCAGGAUGAAGUCAAAGCCUCC